UGGACCAGUGAUGAUGACAGGUGAUGGAUGAGUCUUGGUCAUGAGCAAUAUGUGUCUGGAUAUCUGAGGUCCAA